CCUAAAUGUUCCAAACAAAUCUCUAUUUUAUAUUACAGGGGCAGCAGAGAUGGGCACGUGUGCCAGUAGAACGCCUGGCUAUUUACAGGACACUUCAUGGAUCUACAAAAAGAUGCCUUCUGAGAAUCCACAGGCGGGCCCUCGUUUGGCACAACAAGAAAAGAACAUCAUGAACCAAUUCAGGAGCAGAAUGUACGACUAUGUGGUGGCCAAACACUGCAUAGAACGUACCCCCUGGUGGAGAUUUACAUUGAGGGCCCAAUACCGUCAGGAGAAGAAGUGGGCUAAAAGACGCAUGGAAUAUCUUCAAAAAAAACUAGAGGGAAUAGAGAGGGUGAUCCAUCUGAUGACAAUUGAGAGCUAAUCAGUCAUCGUCAAAAGACCCUCAGCAAACAAGAUCUCAUAUUCCUCAGC